rnacentral:rRNA from 1 species
CUAAUACAUGCAAGUCGAGCGGACAGAUGGGAGCUUGCUCCCUGAUGUUAGCGGCGGACGGGUGAGUAACACGUGGGUAACCUGCCUGUAAGACUGGGAUAACUCCGGGAAACCGGGGCUAAUACCGGAUGCUUGUUUGAACCGCAUGGUUCARACAUAAAAGGUGGCUUCGGCUACCACUUACAGAUGGACCCGCGGCGCAUUAGCUAGCCCGUGAGGUAACGGCUCACCAAGGCGACGAUGAAAAGCCGACCUGAGAGGGUGAUCGGCCACACUGGGACUGAGACACGGCCCAGACUCCUACGGGAGGGAGCGUAGGGAAUCUUCCGCAAUGGACGAAAGUCUGACGGAGCAACGCCGCGUGAGUGAUGAAGGUUUUCGGAUCGUAAAGCUCUGUUGUUAGGGAAGAACAAGUGCCGUUCAAAUAGGGCGGCACCUUGACGGUACCUAACCAGAAAGUCACGGCUAACUACGUGCCAGCAGCAACGGUAAUACGUAGGUGGCAAGCGUUGUCCGGAAUUAUUGGGCGUAAAGGGCUUCGCAGGCGGUUUCUUACCCCUGAUGUGAAAGCCCCCGGCUCAACCGGGGAGGGUCAUUGGAAACUGGGGAACUUGAGUGCAGAAGAGGAGAGUGGAAUUCCACGUGUAGCGGUGAAAUGCGUAGAGAUGUGGAGGAACACCAGUGGCGAAGGCGACUCUCUGGUCUGUAACUGACGCUGAGGAGCGAAAGCGUGGGGAGCGAACAGGAUUAGAUACCCUGGUAGUCCACGCCGUAAACAAUGAGUGCUAAGUGUUAGGGGGUUUCCGCCCCUUAGUGCUGCAGCUAACGCAUUAAGCACUCCGCCUGGGGAGUACGGUCGCAAGACUGAAACUCAAAGGAAUUGACGGGGGCCCGCACAAGCGGUGGAGCAUGUGGUUUAAUUUGAAGCAACGCGAAGAAGCUUACCAGGUCUUGACAUCCUCUGACAAUCCUAGAGAUAGGACGUCCCCUUCGGGGGCAGAGUGACAGGUGAUGCAUGGUUGUCGUCAGCUCGUGUCGUGAGAUGUUGGGUUAAGUCCCGCAACGAGCGCAACCCUUGAUCUU